GAUGAAGAACGUAGCGAAAUGCGAUACUUGGUGUGAAUUGCAGAAUCCCGUGAACCAUCGAGUCUUUGAACGCAAGUUGCGCCCGAAGCCAUUAGGCCGAGGGCACGCCUGCCUGGGCGUCACACGUCGUUGCCCCCCCAUCUACUCCUUCGGGAUUGCGGGGGGCGGAUGAUGGCCUCCCGUGCGCCUCGCCGCGCGGUUGGCAUAAAUGCCAAGUCCUCGGCGACGCACGCCACGACAAUCGGUGGUUGCGAAACCUCGGUUGCCCGUCGUGUGCGGUCGUCGCGCAUCGAGGGCUCGAAAAAAUUGCCGGGUUCCGGCUCGGCUUUCAACGCGACCCCAGGUCAGGCGGGGUUACCCGCUGAAUUUAAGCAUAUUAAUAAGCGGAGGA
rnacentral:misc_RNA from 1 species